GAGGUAGAGAGUUAUGUGAGGGGAGACAAGAUGGCUGCCUUCCCCUGUCUGUCUUGGUAAAGGAGAAAAUGGAGUUCCCUGAAAGUUCCAGUUGCCAGAUGUUCCGAACGACCAGUACCCUGGAGUUAUGAUUUGUGUUGUUCUGAGCAUUCAAAGCAAGCUGCAUUCUAACUGCCUCAGAACUCCAAGGGGCAGUUGCUUCAGUGACCAGCUCAGACCAGCUUCAGUCUUCUCAGGUCUUCUCUGAGGUCAGACACACGUAAGAAAGACCUGGAAAAAGUCCUUGCGUACCAGAGAGUGGUUGAAGAACCAAUAUCAUCAUGCCUUCAGUUGCCUGCCUUGCCUGUACUCAAGCACCGCCCCAGGCAGAUUAUGGCUCCCUUCCUGUACGGUGGCUGUGCAGGGCGUCUUGCUUCCAGCAUUAAACAGUGUGAGGCAUUCAUCUGCCCUGGGCCCUGGCCAAGAAAAUCCGUGACGACAGACAGAACCGCCAGCCUCUUGAGGAUGCAAUGAAUUCUGGAGGCCGCUUGCCUGCCUGCCAACCACAUCAAGAGCUGCCACCGAGAUCACAUUCCCUCUUUAAUUAUGAGCAGCCGUGUGAAAACUCUUUGGGGACUUCUUCCAAAUCUGAUUACAUCUUGAAAUGAACCUGGCAUCGCGGGGAUGUUGGAGGGUGGGGGAUAUCUCAGCCACUGGCUUCUUCUCAGCUCCCUCCGUUUCAUCCUAGAUAGCCAUUAUUGAAAAAGAUGAUAAACUAAUAUUGGGUAAAAUAAUUUCCCCAAAGUUUAAGUGGGUAGCUAAAUGCCCCCCAGGCAGUGGCAGAGUUAGAUAACAGUAAUAGAGCCAGCAGUCAAGAAAUCUCAGAGAGUAUAGCAAAGUGAUCCUUAUUUAAAAAAUCCCAGUAGUGAACUAAGCAAAUACCUCAAGGUGGGAAGGCCUUCGGUUGUUGUGAUAAUACUAGAGGAUUCUGCAAAGUAGAUUGUUUGUCCUGAAGUAUGUAUUCCUGUGCUGGUUUUCUUUUCUUUUCUAGUCAAUAAAUUCAGCUCCCAAGAGGGUAAACGAUGACGUCAAGCAUUACAUGUUCUGCUUUUCCAUUGCAACUGGACUGAAUUAUGUGUUGAAUUAUAAUAAACACUGCCAUGAUGAACUUUAAAUAUUAGGAACGCGUGCCAUUGAAUCUAGCUGAGAGGCUGAUGCUCCUUUACUAAUUGGCAAGUACUUAGAAAGGUCUGCAUAG